GCCCCUGUGGUGUAGCCCGGACUAUCAUACUGCCCUUUCGAGGCAGUGACUCGGGUUCAAAUCCCGGCGGGGGCA
rnacentral:tRNA from 1 species